GGGUUUUAGGACUGCUAGCUGGAAGGCCUCUGCCUUCACACGGCAGGGGUCGCUGGUUCAAAUCCAGCCGCACCCGCCA
rnacentral:tRNA from 1 species